rnacentral:rRNA from 1 species
UACGUAGGGACCGAGCGUUGUCCGGAAUCAUUGGGCGUAAAGCGCGUGUAGGCGGCUCGGUAAGUCUGCUGUGAAAGUCCAGGGCUCAACCCUGGAAUGCCGGUGGAAACUGUCGGGCUAGAGUCCGGAAGAGGCGAGUGGAAUUCCUGGUGUAGCGGUGAAAUGCGCAGAUAUCAGGAGGAACACCAAUGGCGAAGGCAGCUCGCUGGGACGGUACUGACGCUGAGACGCGAAAGCGUGGGGAGCAAACAGG